rnacentral:lncRNA from 1 species
AUAAACCUUGUUCAACGGCGAAGAUGGAGAAAUUUUAUAAUUUCGGAAUUGUGUAUUGUUUCGAAGAAUGUAGGAGCAAUGUUGACUCACCCAAUAUUUAUUUCGAGAAGUGACGGGAAAAUCAGCUGCGGCAUCCCAGCCAUACUUCUUCCACAUGGCCUGGCACGCGCAUCUAUUCUCCCCCACUUCGCCACUGUGCUUGUUCAUUCAUUAUUGCAUGCCAGCAAACGAGAAAUGUGGCGCAAGAACGUAGUAGUAGAACGUUCUCUACUACAAUCCUACAAUCAAAACGGAGCGAAUCAACGAAAAAUAGAGGGGAGACAAAACAGAAAUGUUCGCAUUCUGUUUCAAGGAGCAGAAUUCAGAGAGCAUUCAAUGGGCUAUAAUAGAGUAAAAGCUGCUGAAAACAUACAUUAUUCUUGCAACAGUAAUUAUAAGAAAAUGUCAUAAUAUAAUUGAGCGUGAGAAUUUUAAUCCAACACAUCCUUGCUGCAAUUUAUUUUUAACUCCCGACUGCUCGCAGGGCAAAAAGACGGGGGUUAUGCGUUUCACUGCGACGAUCGUGCGAUCAGCUGAUAGGAGGAUGUCUGUAGCAAAUUUUCUUUGGAACGAUCGUCACCCUUGUCUUGACCAAUUUUUGAUAGGGUUUUCUGUAUGUGACGGACAGUCUUCUUAGACAUAGUUUGUUAAAAUCUAUAGUGAAUUCGCUUAGAAAACUAAUAUUUACGUUCAAACUUAUUUUUUCUAUAUCGAAUCAACCGUAGUGCUCGAUUAUCGACAACUUCACACAGUUGUACACUGCUACUUUCAUUUUGAGCUGUUGUUAAUUGCUAAUGUUAUCAUCACGGUAGGGUCCCAACCUCGCGUGGGUCAUACAUUCGAGAUUUUUGUCGAGACGUCUCGAGAAUACCAGUUUCUCGACUCGCAUACGAUAUCUUAUACAACAUCUAUGGUCGUUUGUCGUUUGACUUGAAAAUCGGGCCCUUCGGUUUAGUUUCAAGUGCUGAUGACUCGUAAAAAUCUCUGUCAUCUCGGUACAUUGACACUCGUGCGCGCAUCAGCUGUAUAAUAUAUUAUCAGUGCGAAGAUCAUUGUAAAAGCAAGCUAUUGAUCAAAUAAUGAGCUGGCUGGCGAAAAGGUUUUCCAUGUCGUAUGGAAGAGUUAAUGUGUCAACAGUAUUCCAUGGACCGAACAGAGCAAGAGUAGCUGCUCAACUUUCGCAAUGUUUUAGAGCUUGGUACAAUUGCUGCGCAAGGUUAAAAGUUUGAUCUCCUUACGCCAGAUAUUGGAGUCUAUUAAAAGCAGUUAUACGUAAUCCUGAUCCAGUGAUAGUAUUGGAAAACGCCAAUAACAAUUAUUUUUAUUUUUUUUCAAAUAGAAAUCAAACACUUUCAAGAACUUUAUUCUCCAUCAAUUCAACUUCAGUGUCCCUUUCAUAAUUGUUCCACAUGAUUGAAAUAUUUUCUGACAUGAAUUAUCUCAGUACAGGUAGUGAAGAAUAGUCAGUACGGGUAAUGAAGAAUUUGGAAAAAAUUACUUAUCUACUUAUAAAGAUCUUGGCAAUUCAAGAAAUGUGAGAAAAGGCACCUACUGGUUAAUUUUCUCAAAAUAUUGAUAUCGUUUGUGAUAAGGAUUUGUUAGAUAUGUGCAAGCCCGGUGACAUUGUUGGUAGCCAUCGAUGUUUGCUGGAAAAUAAGUGUACCACAGGAACUUUUAGAAAACAUAAUGCGUGUACAUCAUGAAUAUAUGAGCCUUUCAGAACGAUUUUAAAUACCAACAAUAUCACGCAGUUGAGUGAAGAAGCCAAUUCUACAAUAUUGCACAAAGACAUUGCGAUGUGCAAAAGAAUAGCAAGGAGCAACCCAUAAAAUGACAUUUUCGAGUUCCUCAGUGGAUUACUCACACCCUCAAUUUACCGUCAUGAUUACGUAAAAAAAAACGUUUUUGUGUCUUCUUUUGGGUGGUAAGGAAGGGUAAACAGGCUUUUUCACUGUUGACGAAGUUUAAGGAGUUGCAUACAUUUUUUUUCUUCUACACAGUGACAUAAAUAUUCUUUCUUGAUAAUGAUCCAUCAUUAGCGAAAUUUCAGCUGUUGCGGCUACAUGUUUUACACCGUGCCAAGAGCUAUAGCAACAACCGGGCGAGGUUCUUUUGGAGCUGGUUUUAAAAGCGGCUGUAACAUCCAAUCAAGAAACUGGAGAACGUAGGUUGGAAGCUGGUGCUGUGGUUUUUAUAGUUGCUGUAAUUGCCAACCGUUGAAUUACGAAGAUGCACAAUUUGAGGUUUAACCUCCAUCCUUCUACAAGAAUGCUGUAAUGAAAGAUGAUCGAGCGAGUCUCAUGAUGACCUUGAUGCCCAAGAGUUACACUUACCGGAAAAUUCCUAAAAAUUGAGGAGUCAAGUUCAGAAUACGGCGUCGCGAAAAAUGCCAUGUUUGGACGCCACCCAUGGCUCGCCCGCGUAUGCCUGAAAGUACAUUGUAUUUAGGAGAAUUAUUAUUUUUACCAUUUCUAAUGUUUAGCAACUACAACAGCAAUAUCAUCACAAUAAAUAAAACAAAUGAACCAAAAAUAAUAGCGACUGAUACAAUAUCAAUUUACGGGGACGACUAGCUGCUUUUAAACUUUUAUUCGUUGAACGUUCUUGUUCGAAAAAUGAGUCAAAUCGAGUUGGAAAGAGACGAAAGGAAAAUAAUCGUGCCGAUCACGAUAACAAUGAAAUAAGGACAAUAAAUAAAGAAAAUAAUGAUAAUUCAAAAAAGGAAUUUCAUUUCAAAUAAAAAUUCGUUCAUAACCAUUUGUUUAUAUAAGAGAGUCAUCAUGGUUCUUCACAAAAAUCGAAAUCGAUUCCUCUGGAGUUCUCGCGAUUUAUAGUCCAUUUCAUAUGAUCUCUUGAAGAUUACCUCAACGCACCGGUUGGCUAGCAAUAAGAUUCAAUGCAGAAACUAUGAAUGUACUCGAGUAAAUUGUGCUAUCGGAAAAGCUGAAUUAUUGUUUACUAUGAAGAUAAAAGGAAUGCUUGUAAGAAAAUGUCACAGUGUACGCAACAGACAGCACAGGCCAUAGACCAAAAGAUACAAGACACACUACUGCAUUACUGUAACGGCUCAUUGGAUCGAUGACGUGACUUUAACGCGACAAUCCUUUGCUAUAGCGUAUCAGAGAUUCCCAGGAUCUCAUAGAGCAGAAAGGAUUGCUGAGGUUUUAUUAUGGAUAUAAAUGAAUCUUUUGGAUUAGACACGAAAAAGGUCGUCGCAACUGUUACCGACAAUGUCUCGAAUUUCGCGAAGGCUUUCCGUGAAUUUGGUGUCAAUUCGCUGGACAGUUUCUUGCUUGGUGAGUUAUUAUUUUUACGAGGCUAUUAAUGCAGAGAUACACUCGCUGAUAGAGUAUGUAAUGCACAACACAAGUACGGAAACUAUUAAAUUUCAAAUGAGAAUUCAAACGAUGAUGAAGCAGGGAGGACUAUCUCUCGAACAGCCGAAUCGACCUCCGAUAACGACGAGAAUCAUAGUCUCGAACAUGAUCGUGCCGUACCUGAACGCAGUCUGAGCCAUUGAAAUCAUUGCCUAAGCAAUUGCGAUGUGAUGUCAUAUAUUGAAUUUGGUUUCAGCUGUGGACGUCUUGAAAAUAAUCAAGUCCUCAGACUAUUUGUCUACUAAACAUUUUGCAGCGAUGGAGAAAUGUAUGGACACUUCAAAUCGCGAUGGCUAGUUUCUCUGUCAGAGUCCAUUCGUCGAAAAGAAGAGGGUAUUUUUCCGGUCGAUGGCUUUUUUGAUUUUGAAGAGGAUCCUCAGACGUUUAUUCCUCAUGAAAGUCCAACAGUUAGUGUUGAAAUCGCAAGGUACAUGUUUUGCGACAAUGAUGGAUCUGUCCAAAUGGAAUCGUUUGACAGACGAAGAUUUUGAACAGAGGGUACUUAUGAAAGCUAAUGCAGUCAAUCAAAGCGUCCUCCAAUAUCAUUAAUGAGCGUCGAAAUUCGAGAUCUAAAUAAUAGAUAAUUGGAAAACUUGAUUGAGUUAUCGUCAUUGCCUGACUGACAAUGAGUCAUUGCUGCAUUAACCAUUUGGGUAAAAUAUCGUGAUUCAUAUUUUUGACUGAGUUAUCGUCACUUCCAUUUUUGGCUGAGUUAUCACCACCUUCAAGUUUUGGACGAGUUAUCGCCAUAUUUUUUUGGUUGAGUUAUCGCCACUUCCAUUUUUUGGUUGAGUUAUCGCCACUUUCAUUUUUUGACUGAGUUAUCGCCACUUUCAUUUUUUGCCCGAGUUAUCACCACCUUCAUGUUUUGGACAAGUUAUCGCCACAUUUUUUUGGUUGAGUUAUCGCCACUCUGUCUGUUUUGUUGAAUGAUGUAUCGUACAUUUUAUGUUUCAUUUACCUGGGAGCGUAGCUUUGACAGUCUCUCAAUCAAGGCAGAUUCCAACGAUAUAACCAUUCUAGUUUACGUCUCUCUGUGAUAUUCUUGUUGAUUAAGAUUUUUUUCAAAGCUAAAUAUUCUUCAAAAAUUUGAAAAUGUAAUUUUUAUAAUAAUAUAAUCGAUUUUUAUAUUCAA